GAUUCCAGCUGGUUGAAGUUUGCUGAAGAACGAACAGAACAUCGUUUUACACUUUUUGGGACUGAUAUUGAUGUGAUCCGACCGGAAAUUUUUUUAAUGGAGUUUGUUCUUAUGGAAAAAUCUGAAGGUGUUACCUGAAGUUGAUGAAAGUAACCGUACAUAAAUUCACCGUCGCAGAUAGCUUUGACUUCAGCCAGUGUAAUAGUGCUUCAAUGUCACUGCGUUGAGACUGCAAGUAAGGUGCCUUUUGGCUGUCAGCACAGUUUUUUCCACAACUUCCUCAUGGUUGUUUUGCCUGCUGCUGUUUAAACAUGUCAUUCAUACAUAUUCCACUGCUAAGGUCCAAGACUCUCCCUGCAGUCUGUGCAGACCUGGUUAACCCAUGAAUAUCAAGGAACAUUUCAGCUUAUUUCUGGAGCUGUGAUGUUUUCUGAGAUCUAAGGGAAAUUGCAUAUUAUCAUGUUAUCAUACUCAAGAACAAAGGUUGUUUUUUACUAGUGACUGCUGACACUGUCAGAAUAAAGCUGACAUGGAAAUUUUGUAAAUUAUAUAAAAUGUAAUAAUUUUUUAUUUUUCUAAUGGCAAAACUUUAGGCAGGUAGGCAACUUGUGAAGUAGUACAACUAUUCUUUGCUGCUGUGAAUGUGAAUGCCUCUAACUGGUGGCAUGUCUAUCUGCACUCACUAUUGUACUGAUGAGGAUGUAAAAGAGAUGUGGUGUACAAGUCUCACAAAGUGCCUGCAUAUCAUCAGAUCUCUAUAGAGAUUGACCCGCACUUUCAUAGUGCCUGUGCAAGGCUGACUGAAAUUUUUCCACCAGCUCUGCAAGAUUAUAUAGAAAAUGCAAUAAUAAUGUAUUUGACCACUCUGUAAGUUAUAUAGAAAUAUUUUCAACAAUGAA